UGAGGAAUAUUGGUCAAUGGGCGAGAGCCUGAACCAGCCAAGUAGCGUGCAGGAUGACGGCCUUCCGGGUUGUAAACUGCUUUUAGUUGGGAAUAAAAAAAGGGACUUGUCCCUUCUUGUAUGUACCUUCAGAAAAAGGACCGGCUAAUUCCGUGCCAGCAGCCGCGGUAAUACGGAAGGUCCAGGCGUUAUCCGGAUUUAUUGGGUUUAAAGGGAGCGUAGGCGGAUUGUUAAGUCAGCGGUUAAAGGGUGUGGCUCAACCAUGCAUUGCCGUUGAAACUGGCGAUCUUGAGUGCAGACAGGGAUGCCGGAAUUCGUGGUGUAGCGGUGAAAUGCUUAGAUAUCACGAAGAACUCCGAUCGCGAAGGCAGGUGUCCGGGCUGCAACUGACGCUGAGGCUCGAAAGUGUGGGUAUCAAACAGGAUUAGAUACCCUGGUAGUCCACACAGUAAACGAUGUAUACUCGCGGUUUGCGAUAGACAGUAAGCCGCCAAGCGAAAGCAUUAAGUAUACCACCUGGGGAGUACGCCGGCAACGGUG
rnacentral:rRNA from 1 species